AGUAGCUCAGUUGGUUAGAGCACAUGACUGUUAAUCAUGGGGUCCUAGGUUCAAGUCCUAG
rnacentral:tRNA from 1 species